CGUGUAGGUGGGCUUCUAAGUCGGUGGUGAAAUCCUGCAGCUUAACUGUAGAACUGCCAUUGAUACUGGAAGUCUUGAGUACGGCAGAGGGAGAUAGAAUUCAUGGUGUAGCGGUGAAAUGUGUAGAUAUCAUGAAGAAUACCAGUUGCGAAGGCGGUCUCCUGGUCCGUUACUGACACUGAGGCGCGAAAGCGUGGGGAGCAAACA
rnacentral:rRNA from 1 species